CACGUAGGAGGCAAACGUUAUCCGGAUUUAUUGGGUUUAAAGGGUGCGCAGGCGGGAUGUUAAGUCGGCGGUGAAAUUUUGCGGCUCAACCGUAAAAGUGCCUUCGAAACUGGCAUUCUUGAGUAUGGAUGAAGUAGGCGGAAUUUGUGGUGUAGCGGUGAAAUGCUUAGAUAUCACGAGGAACUCCGAUUGCGCAGGCAGCUUACUAAACCAUAACUGACGCUCAUGCACGAAGGCGUGGGGAUCAAACAGG
rnacentral:rRNA from 1 species